GUAAAAUAGUGCAGCAUGUUUCUGAAUAAACAAUAUGUUACAAAAUCACCUUUUAUUCAACAGAACAAAAACUUAAAAAGGAAAAUCUCUCCAUCUAGCAUACAAAAAGAAAUCUAGUGGUUAAAUUUGCUUCAAAACUUUUUCAGCUGCAGCUACAGUCCUUUGAAUAUCCUCUGGAGUGUGUGCUAAGCUAGUAAAUCCAGCCUCAAACUGUGAUGGUGCAAAGUAAACACCUUCCUCCAGCAUCCCUCUAUAGAAUCUGCCAAAUUUUUCUGUAUCACUCUUCUUUGCAUCCGAAAAGUUAUAGAUGGGACCAUCCGCGAAGAAGAAGCCAAACAUCCCCCUUAUGGAGCCACCACACAUUGCAUGACCGGUCUUCUUUCCAGCAUCCAAGAUUCCUUGUGUAAGUUCCGCGGUGAUCUUGUCCAAGUGUUCGUAUGUUCCCUGUCCUUGUAACCGCUUAAGCGUGUGAAUUCCAGCAGUCAUGGCCAAUGGGUUUCCACUUAGGGUGCCAGCUUGAUACAUUGGUCCUGCAGGUGCUACCAUCUCCAUUAUAUCCCGUCUUCCUCCGUAAGCACCUACUGGCAAGCCACCGCCAAUAAUCUUCCCGAGUGUUGUCAAAUCUGGAGUUAUUCCAAAAUACUCUUGAGCACCGCCAUAUGCCAAUCUAAAUCCAGUCAUGACUUCGUCGAAAAUAAGAAGUGCAUCAUUCUCUUUGGUGAUCUUGCGAAUGGCAGCAAGAAAUUCUAGCUUAGGUGGGAUGAAGCCAGCAUUUCCGACUACAGGCUCGAGAAUUACAGCGGCUAUUUCUCCUUUGUGCUCCUCAAAGAGGCUCUCAACAGCAGAAAUGUCAUUGUAAGGUGCGGUCAGAGUAUCGAUAGUAGCUGCCUUUGGAACUCCCGGAGAGUCAGGAAGACCGAGGGUGGCAACGCCACUGCCCGCUUUAACAAGAAAUGGAUCAGCAUGACCAUGGUAACAACCCUCGAAUUUGAUGAUCUUAGGACGGCAAGUGAAAGCACGAGCCAGCCGUAGUACUCCCAUACAUGCUUCUGUACCAGAGUUGACAAAUCGAACCAUUUCUAUGCUUGGAACAGCUGAAAUAACCAUCUCUGCCAGUGUAUUUUCAAGGAGACAUGGAGCACCGAAACUCGUUCCUUUCUUCAUUGUUUCAGCCAAUGCUGCUAGCACCUCAUCAUCCGCAUGACCAAUUAUAGCUGGUCCCCAUGAUCCGACAUAGUCAAUGUACUCGUUACCAUCUAUGUCCCGCAUACGAGAGCCCUUCACGGAGUCAAUAAUGAUAGGUUGUCCGCCAACUGACUUGAAAGCACGGACAGGGGAAUUUACACCUCCUGGCAUCAACUCCUUGGCUUUGCUGAAAGCUUCUUCAGACUUCUCAAGUGUGAAAGUUUUCUUCUUUUCAUCAACUGAGGCUGUCAUUCUAAUGGUUGCAGAAGAAGAAGAAGAUGGGUUGCAUCGACGGUGAGAUGGAGAAAAACCCCAUUUGGGUGUUUGAUUUUUGGUCAAUUUUGAUGGCCAUGAAAGUCCUACACCAUUUACAGCAGCCAUUGUUACCAACUCUUCCUCUUCUCUCUCUCUGAGUAUUCUUGAAUUAGU
rnacentral:misc_RNA from 1 species